rnacentral:rRNA from 1 species
CCCUUAGAUGUCCGGGGCUGCACGCGCGCUACACUGAAGGAAUCAGCGUGCUAAAACCAUUGUCGAAAGGCAUCGGUAAACCCAUUAAAAUCCUACGUGAUUGGGAUCGGGAAUUGCAAUUAUUUCCCUUGAACGAGGAAUUCCCAGUAAGUGUGGGUCAUAAGCUCGCGUUGAUUACGUCCCUGCCCUUUGUACACACCGCCCGUCGCUGCCCGGGACUGAGCCGUUUCGAGAAAAGCGGGGACUGCUGCUGUCGGGGCUUUCGGGCCUUGGCUUCGGUGGAAACCGCUUUAAUCGCAGUGGCUUGAACCGGGCAAAAGUCGUANCA